UACGGGGGGAGCAAGCGUUGUUCGGAUUUACUGGGCGUAAGGGCGCGUAGGCGGCGUGUCACGUCGGCCGUGAAAACCUGCAGCUUAACUGUGGGCGUGCGGUCGAUACGGGCAUCACUGGAGUUCGGCAGGGGAGACUGGAAUUCCUGGUGUAGCGGUGAAAUGCGCAGAUAUCAGGAGGAACACCGGUGGCGAAGGCGGGUCUCUGGGCCGAUACUGACGCUGAGGAGCGAAAGCGUGGGGAGCAAACAGG
rnacentral:rRNA from 1 species